ensembl:lncRNA
CAAACACCGAGCUUAUCAGCGGUGGACAAAGUGGCCCGGUCCCCUCCACCGUAGAAACGAGCCCCCCCCCCCUCCCCCCGCCAUGCCGAGCGUUACGCAAAAUCCCGUUGUGGGAGUUUUUCAGAGCAGAACCGGAGGCGAGCAGAGCGGGACUCAAGAGUCGCUGUGGUGCUGGUGGCUCUCAGCUGCGGUAACAGAUGUUUUAGCGAGAACACCCAGGGUGCCUGCCGGGAUGCUUUAAAGGUCACCGUUCUUCUGUAGUGCGAGGCAGUCCUCCAGAGCCCCGCCACACUGUACCUGUCAGCAGAUACCAGCAGCCGGGAUGCUUAGCUGCAACUACUGUUCACUGAACAGAAGCAAGCUCAGACACGCCCGACUGACAGCUCUGAUCUCUCUUUAACAACACGGCAAUGUGAUGCAUUACCUGCGUGCACCUCAGACAAAUUCCAUUUUUCUAAAUUUGUUGCCCAAUCAGCCAGAGUGAUCAUGCAUGUCAGGAUCUGUCCGUUAUUUAUCCAUCCAUCCUCUAACUUUCCCUUCCUGUCUUUGAAUGCUCACGACUCGCUGCGUUUGCUGUGGAGAAAACAGGAGGGCGUUUGUGCUUAAAAAUGUACACGAACAGCUGAGAGUUUUCAAAUUUAACCAAAUAGACAUUCACAACGUUGCCUCUUCUUUUGAUGCACAGCUGGUUCUGGCUGUUGGGUGAGUCAUUACUUUGCUGUAAGACAAAAUGUCAGAAGACAGUUAAGUAAAAUGAGCAAAAUUUACAAAAGGACUUAUCUAGUUGUGAGUGCGUGUCAAUAAAUAUUGCUGACCUUUUUUUUCACCUCAGAUUAUCUUGAAUAUAGGUUUUAUAAAUAACAAAUUUAUUUCAUGCACUUGCUAUUAAAAACACAUGCCAGUUAAAGCCGACGCUUACUAGACUAAAAUAAAAGUGAUACAUUGAAGCAAAAUUAAGAGGCUCUUGUUGAUGGUAAAACAAAGUCUAGCAAAAAAAGUUUGUACGCUAGACUUUCAUAACCACACUAUAUGCAGCAGUACUUUCUUUUUUCAACAUUGCGCACAAUUAAUAUUACAUAUAAAAUGACAAUUUCAUAUGUAAUAUUAUUUUAAUUAUUGUGCAAUAUAACUUUCUACUGUUUCUAUCAAUAAUGAUAUCUCUCUAUAAUAUGCUCAAUGUUAAUUAUGUAAUUUAGUUUCCAUUAGGCUCUUGUGUUUAUAUAAACUCUACUCUAUAUGAACUUUAUACUUUGAAUUUUUACUUUUCAAUUUAAUCUUUGUUUUUAAUGUAAGUGGGUUUUUUUUGUAACUUUAUUUACCUUACUGUUACUGUUAUUGCUAAUGUAUUCUACCUUGUAAUAGUGUGAGUAUUAUUACCCUUAUUUUUAUUUCUUAUUUUGGUGUCCAUGUAUAUUUUUAUUCACUUUCAUUUGGUUUAUUUUUUUUGUCUUUUUACGAAACUCAUACGCACAAUAAUUUCCUUUGGGACUAAUAAAAUUCCACCCUAUUUGUUCUUAGGGUAAAUAAAUAGACUACAAUUAUCAGAAAAAGGCUCAUUGGUUUCCUGACAAUGUAAAUGUUGAAUAAAAGACUAUUAAGAAUAAAUCCUGCAGAUUAACUUGCCGACCCAAACAGGACGUCCUGCGAGCGGCGUCUCGCU